CUGAAGUUGUAUUGUAUUCAAUGAACUUGGAAACAAAGACAAGCCGGUGGCCAAAGGAACUUUAGUGAGUAAAGAUAAAACAUAUGUGGUUGGAGGAGACAUGCUUGGAGUGCAAUACGUUGCAGUUCUUGUUCGUGGCUAUACAUAUCUAGCAAAUGAGAGACUAGUUAGACCAUAUGAAAAAUUCCAAACAGUAAAGGAUGCUUUUGGUUCUGUUAUUGCUUGGCCUCGCUCACAUGUAAAAGUAGUUAAGCCAACCACUCCAGCACAACCACAAAGCAUUGGGUGAUGAUGACUUGAAAAGGGAGUGCAUUAAAGGAGUUAGGAGUAGUUGAGCAGUGGACCAGUUGUCUAUAUGAAAAGGGAGUGCAUUGGAGGAGUUGCGAGCAGUUGAUGAAUCUAUCUUUGAAUGAACAAUAUUAUGCAUUAUGUAAAGAUUUUAGAUCGUCGAGAAACAUAGUUGUUAUUUAUAGGAUAUUUUCUUAUUUAUUUGCACAAGCGCAUGUUUCAUAUGAAUGUUUGGUAUUAUCCAGUUGUAAACUCCACGUACUUUAUGUGGAUACAUUGUUUCUUCUA